GGUCCUUUAAGGUCUUGAACAUCGGUUUCCUGACUUGAGCGGGGCCCAUGCCCCUGCCGAGGAGGCUCAGCCUGGAAGCAGCUAGCCCAUUUCCUAUCUCCCCCACCACGACCCCAGCAAGGAUCUCUACUUGACUUACCUCCUUCAGGCAACCACCUAGAAAAUCGUUGAGUUUGUUCAUGUCACAAGUGAAAGUAUUUUUUCAUGCAUUCAUCGUUGGCACGUCGUCCUUUGGCAAUAUUAAAAUCUACCAACAAAUGGGAAAAGUUAACAUUUGCACCAUCUUGCCAUAUUCAAAAACCUUGUGCUUAAGUGUUUUGAAAAGACAGGGUUUCACCAUAUUGGCCAGGCUGGUCUCGAACUCCUGACUUCGUGAUCUGCCCACCUCGGCUUCCCAAAGUGCUGAGGUUGCAGGCGUGAGCCACCGUGCCCGGCCGCGUUUCCUACUCUUUAAGCUCUGUUAGCUUGGCCUCUGUCCCUGAAGGUGCAGCUUCAAGCUUAGGACCACCCACCAUGCCUAUCCAGGUGCUGAAGGGCCUGACCAUCACUCAUUAAGAACAGAGGAGGCUGCCUGUUACUCCUGGUGUUGCAUCCCUCCAGACACUCUGCUGUUUCCUGCCUAGGCGUGGCUGCAGCCAUGGCUAGGAAAGCGCUGCCACCCACCCACCUGGGCCAGAGCUGGUUCUGCUCCUGCUGCAGGGACACUGAGCUGGCUAUCUCGGCGCUUCGGGCAAGAACUGCAACAGGCUCUCCUGGGUCCUGCAGGUGUACAGCCGGGCCCCUGCCUUGUGCCUCAGCUCUCGAGAGCUGCUGCUGCCGGGUGACCUGAUCCAACCUGAUAAGGUGCCAUCUUCAGCUACCACUGCAAGGCCCUGAGGGCAACAGCAGCACGGCACUGCCCACCCGGCUGCUGAUGGCCUGGUGCCAGCUGGGAGUCCUCCCGGCACUUCGAGGCCACUGAGCCACCCUUCCAGCCCCAGCCCACCAUGGACAGGGGUAUCCAGCUUCCUCCUCAACCUCGUCCUCUGCCCCUGAGCCAGUGACGCCCAAGGACAUGCCUGUUACCCAGGUCCUGUACCAGCACUAGCUGGUCAAGGGCAUGACAGUGCUGGAGGCCGUCUUGGAGAUCCAGGCCAUCACUGGCAGCAGGCUGCUCUCCAUGGUGCCAGGGCCCGCCAGGCCACCAGGCUCAUGCUGGGACCCAACCCAGUGCACAAGGACUUGGCUGCUGAGCCACACACCCAGGAGAAGGUGGAUAAGUGGGCUACCAAGGGCUUCCUGCAGGCUAGGGGAGGAGCCACCCCCGCUUCCCUAUUGUGACCAGGCCUAUGGGGAGGAGCUGUCCAUACGCCACCGUGAGACCUGGGCCUGGCUCUCAAGGACAGACACCGCCUGGCCUGGUGCUCCAGGGGUGAAGCAGGCCAGAAUCCUGGGGGAGCUGCUCCUGGUUUGAGCUGCAUUCAGGAAGUGCGGGACAUGGUAGGGGAGGCAAAAAGCCUUGGGCACUACCCUCCCUGUGGAGCUGUUCGGUGUCCGUCGAGCUAGCCACACCCUGACACCAUGUUCAAGGGUACCGGAAGAGAAGGGUGUCUGCCCCCAACCUCCCCUGUGGGUGUCACUGGCCAGAUGUCAUGAGGGAAGCAGGCCUUGUGAGUGGACACUGACCAUGAGUCCCUGGGGGGAGUGAUCCCCCAGGCAUCGUGUGCCAUGUUGCACUUCUGCCCAGGCAGCAGGGUGGGUGGGUACCAUGGGUGCCCACCCCUCCACCACAUGGGGCCCCAAAGCACUGCAGGCCAAGCAGGGCAACCCCACACCCUUGACAUAAAAGCAUCUUGAAGCUUUUA
ensembl:lncRNA C19orf48P multidrug resistance-related protein